GUGCAGCAGGCGCGAAACCUUCGCAAUGCGGGAAACCGCGACGAGGGGACUCCCAGUGCCUACGCUCAGCGUAGGCUGUUCCCGAGCCUAGAAAGCUCGGGGAGUAAGGGCUGGGUAAGACGGGUGCCAGCCGCCGCGGUAAUACCCGCAGCCCGAGUGGUGGCCACUAUUAUUGGGCCUAAAGCGUCCGUAGCCGGCCCGGUAAAUGCCUGGGUAAAUCGUGAGGCCUAACCUCACGAAUUCCGGGUAGACUGCCGGGCUAGGGACCGGAGGAGGGAGAGGGUACUCCAGGGGUAGGGGUGAAAUCCUGUAAUCCCUGGAGGACCACCGGUGGCGAAGGCGCUCUCCCUAGGACGGGUCCGACGGUGAGGGACGAAAGCCAGGGGAGCGAACCGGAUUAGAUACCCCU
rnacentral:rRNA from 1 species